rnacentral:tRNA from 1 species
GGGCCUAUAGCUCAGCUGGAAGAGCCACCGGCUCAUAACCGGUAGGUCAGUGGUUCGAAUCCACUUAGGCCCA